GACGAACCGUGCAAACGUUGUUCGGAAUCACUGGGCUUAAAGGGCGCGUAGGCGGGCAGCCAAGUCAGGGGUGAAAUCUUCGGCUACAACCGGAAAAUUGCCUUUGAAACUGGCUGUCUCGAGGGAGGUAGGGGCAUGUGGAACUUCCGGUGGAGCGGUGAAAUGCGUAGAUAUCGCUUGGAACGCCAAAGGUGAAACAGGUGCUGGGGUUGUGCCGAC
rnacentral:rRNA from 1 species